UUCCAAUGUCGUUCUAAGUAAAUCUCGUGCGGCUUAUUUUGUUUAUUUAAGUCGCACGAGAUUUAUUUCGAUUGAUGUUGGA
rfam:Papilio xuthus contig11020, whole genome shotgun sequence.